rnacentral:rRNA from 1 species
CGGAGGAGCAUGUGGUUUAAUUCGAUGAUACGCGAGGAACCUUACCUGGGCUCGAACGUAAGAUGACUGUAGGUGAAAGCUUACAUCUCUUCGGAGCAUUUUACGAGGUGCUGCAUGGUUGUCGUCAGCUCGUGCCGUGAGGUGUCGGGUUAAGUCCCAUAACGAGCGCAACCCCUACCUUUAGUUGCCAUCAGGUUAAGCUGGGGACUCUAAAGGAACUGCCUACGCAAGUAGUGAGGAAGGCGGGGACGACGUCAAAUCAGCACGGCCCUUACGUCCAGGGCUACACACGUGCUACAAUGGCCGAUACAGAGGGCAGCUACCUGGUGACAGGAUGCAAAUCUCCAAAGUCGGUCUCAGUUCGGAUCGGAGUCUGCAACCCGACUCCGUGAAGUUGGAUUCGCUAGUAAUCGCGCAUCAGCCAUGGCGCGGUGAAUACGUUCCCGGGCCUU